rnacentral:rRNA from 1 species
UACAGAGGGGGCAAGCGUUGUUCGGAAUUACUGGGCGUAAAGGGCGCGUAGGCGGCCCGCUAAGUCGAACGUGAAAUCCCUGGGCUCAACCCAGGAACUGCGUCCGAUACUGGCGGGCUUGAAUCCGGGAGAGGGAUGUGGAAUUCCAGGUGUAGCGGUGAAAUGCGUAGAUAUCUGGAGGAACACCGGUGGCGAAGGCGGCAUCCUGGACCGGCAUUGACGCUGAGGCGCGAAAGCCAGGGGAGCAAACGGG